rnacentral:snRNA from 1 species
CUGCUCACCUUGGCAGCACGUGGACUAAAAUUAGGACGAUGCAGGGGGAUUAGCAUGGCCCCUGCACAAAGGUGACAGGCAGAUGCAUGACACAUUCCAUAGCGUC